rnacentral:rRNA from 1 species
CCUACGGGUGGCAGCAGUGGGGAAUAUUGCACAAUGGGGGAAACCCUGAUGCAGCGACGCCGCGUGAGUGAAGAAGUAAUUCUUUAUGUAAAGCUCUAUCAGCAGGGAAGAAAAAGACGGUACGUGAGUAAGAAGCCACGGCUAACUACGUGCCAGCAGAAGCGGUAAUACGUAGGGGGCAUGCGUUAUCCGGAUUUACUGGGUUUAAAGGGAGCGUAGACGGCAGUGCAAGUCUGGAGUGAAAGUCGGGGGCUCAACCCCCGGACUGCUCUGGAAACUGUACGGCUGGAGUGCAGUAGAGGUAAGUGGAAUUCCUAGUGUAGCGGUGAAAUGCGUAGAUAUUAGGAGGAACCCCAGUGGCGAAGGCGGCUUACUGGACUGUAACUGACGUUGAGGCUCGAAAGCGUGGGGAGCAAACAGGAUUAGAUACCCGGGUAGUC